rnacentral:tRNA from 1 species
UCCCUAGUAGCUCAGAUGGUAAAGCAUCUCUGACUGCAAUGCAGGAGACCCGGGUUCGAUCCCUGGGUCGGGAA